rnacentral:rRNA from 1 species
AAUAUGUGACAAUGGGGGCAACCCUGAUCCAGCCAGGCCGCGUGUGUGAAGAAGGUCUUCGGAUUGUAAAGCACUUUAAGUGGGGAGGAAGUGCUGUAGGCCAAUACCCUGAAGUUUGGACGUUACCAACAGAAUAAGCCCCGGCUAACUCUGUGCCAGCAGCCGCGGUAGUACAGAGGGUGCAAGCGUUAAUGGGAAUUACUGGGCGUAAAGCACGCGUAGGUGGUUCAGUAAGAUGGGUGUGAAAUCACCGCGCUGAACCUGGGAACGGGUUUCAUAACUGCUGGGCUAGAGUACGGUAGAGGGUAGUGGAAGUACCUGUGUAGCGGUGAAAUGAGUAGAUAUAGGAAGGAACAAAAGUGGCGAAGGAGACUACCUGGACUGAUAAUGACACUGAGGUGCGAAAGCGUGGGGAGCAAACA